CAUAUACUCCCUCCGUCCGAAAAUACUUGUCAUCAAAAUGGACAAAAGGGAUGUAUCUAGAACUAAAAUACAUCUAGAUACAUCUCCUUUUAUCCAUUUUGAUGACAAGUAUUUCCGGGCGAAUGGAGUAUGUA
rnacentral:pre_miRNA from 1 species